ACUGACCGUUAGCGCCACUCCCACCGUGCUGCUCGCUACGAUAAUCGCGCCACCACUUGUCCUCCGUAGCUCUGGAGUCCUGGCCUGCCGGUUGCUAACUGGGCCACUUUACAGAGGCAGAAGCAAGCUCAGGGAGGGUAAACAGGAAGGGUAACUAAUUUUCCUGGGAUUACACAGUCGGUAAAUAAUGGAGGCAGCAUCGACCCCAGGCAGUCUGGCCCCAGACACCACACUUUUACCCAAUUCCCACAGCUGCCUGGAAAAUAAAUAGAAAUCAAAUAGAUGUUAACAAGGACCUUUGGGAGUUGUCCGGCGUUUGGGCAACGGAUUGCUUUUCUGUUUCAUGUUAGUCCACCGCCCUCACGUGGCCCCGUCCUGAACUUCACCCUUGUUUGGUCCCAAACUGUAAAGACCCUCACGGUGCUGGGAAACACAGCCCUGCUGGCCUCGGACUGCAGGACAGAAUCCUUACCCCUCCUGGGCCUCCGUUGUGUUCUUUCCAAAAUGGGAUAAUGGUAGCAGGUUAAUGGAAAUAAUUAAAUAAAAUAGUCCAUCUAAAUUCCUGGAUCGAACGAAGGGUCCAAUAAACAUUAGCUGUGCUGUUGUAGUGCUCAGUGCCUCUCUCUCAAAAGCGGGUGGCAACAGACACCCUCACACCUUCGCUGUAAUGAGAGCUCUGCAAAGCCAACUGCAAAUAUUAGGAAUCAGUGUCCUCACGAGGCCAACCCCUUUCCAAGGCUGCUUGGAAAAUGCUUUGCUAGACUAGCUUGGAUCUUGCUGGCUUGACUCAGAUCACAGUUGAGCAAAUGUGCAGAAGAGGAAGAGAUGAGGGAAGGCCUGGCUCAGUGUGCUCAGAGCUUCGAUUUUGAGACUGUUCGGGAGGAAAAGUUCCUCACCAGACAGUGCUCUGCUACUCUUAAAGCUAGAAGGACAGAAAGAUUUCUCCACAGUUGGGGUCAUGGAAAUGUGUAUUUUCUCCAAACCUUUUUUUCACUGAACCAGUUGUUGGAGCCUUCCAUUUGAGACCUUGUGAUGCCUUCAUGGACAUUAUUUCUGCUCAUCCACACAGCCAGCAGGGACUUGUGCAGCAGGAGGGGCAGGCUCAGAGUUAAGCAGCUGCUCCAACGUCACACGGCUAGCCUGGGCCUGAUCUGGAGCUUGUCCCAGAUCUGGAGCUUCCCAGGUUUGGACCUGGGUCACUAGAGCAGAGCCUCCUUGCCUCUUCGUGGAUAUGGAGCCAAUUCACUGUGGCCGAUCACCAGCCUCACAGACUAAGGGGGCAGCCCUGCCCCUGCCUACGCCCCUACCACUGCUGAAGCCAUCUCCUUGCCGACAAACACAAGCAGAAACUUCUCAGGAUCUGCUGCCUCUUGUUCCAAGGAUUAGGCGAGCUUCUGUCUUGAGGACAGAAGAGGCAGCUGGAAGAUCAGGGUUGUGGUUGAAGAAGGCCUAGGAUUCGUGGAGUAAUCAACCAACCCACCCCAAUCCUUGGUGGCCAGACUCUACCAGAGCUGAAGGCAGUUUGAAAGACAGCUGUGUGAAAAGAAUGUGUUGCCCAGGACCACUGGACAAGCGCCUGCGAGUGGACAUGGUGGGUUUUGGUUUUCUUAGGUGGACUUGUUCGGGGCUUUAUAACCAUAGAAUGGUGAACACUUGGAAAAUACUAUGAAAGGAUUAAAAGUUUUAUCGAAAUA
ensembl:lncRNA LINC01964 long intergenic non-protein coding RNA 1964